CCGCCAGUAGCUCAGCUGGAUAGAGCACCUGCCUUCUAAGCAGGCGGCCGGGGGUUCGAGUCCCUCCUGGCGGGCCA
rnacentral:tRNA from 1 species